rnacentral:lncRNA from 1 species
AAAACAGAGACGGAAGCGGCAACGUUCUAGCGGUGGCGAAGGUGAAUUGCCAUUUAGGUCGAGGUGGGUGUGUUAGAUAUAUGUCCUAAAAGCCAAUAUAAAAUUGAAAAUUCUAAGAAUAUAAUAUUAAAUAACUAUAAUUAAUAGAGCAUGAAUGUUAAUUUAGGAAACUAAUAUAUGCAAACUACAAAGUAACAAGUCCAUGGAUAAUGAUAUAAAUGAGACCCUUCCAAUUGUAUCCUAAAAUGGUCCUGGUCAUAGGAUCACCAAUUGGACAACAGUGAUCUACAAAGAUUGGUACACAUUAUGUUUGCUCAAGUGGGAGGAUGACUAGUCUAAAGUCAUUUGUGUAUAAGACACUGAGACAAGUGUGUAGGUGCUCAAUAGAGAUGGAGUUCACUGAACGCGAUCAAACUAAGAAUUCUUGUGUGAAAGUUUUACUCACAAGUGUCAAACAAGUAAUUCUAAGUUAUGAUAAUGUAAAUUAGCCCUUAGACCUGAGACGCAUAGAGGGACAAAUGGGGUUAUGCGACCCUAUGGCAGCUGGGAAAAGUAGUGGUAAAGCUCUGAUGUGACCCCAAGGCGCACACCAAGUGCUCGACAAAAUGCCCAGCAUAGAAGGAAGAAGCUUGCGCACAGCACAUGCCUUGCGGUGCACACACGAGCUGUGUUUUUUUUUUUUUUUUUUUAAUAAACCGCGUGGCCAAAAUGACGCAAUUUUGUUCCAGGCAUGUUAAUUUUUUUUUUUAAACCUAGCCUCAAAACGACGUCGUUUUGAAGCCAAGUUUUUUUUUUAAAAAAAAAACCGCCAACAACACUAGCUUAUCUCUCCUCCCCGAGCUCCUUCAUUGCCAAAACCUAAUUUUUUUUUUUCAAAAUCCCCUCUCCUCUCAAAACCCUAACUAAUCCCCAACCUUCACCACACCACCAUCAACCAAUACAAGGCGCUGCCAUCACUUCUCAUAAAGUCAAGUGAGUGAUAAUUUUACAUAUAUUAUUUUGAGCUUUGGAUAAUUUUAAUGAAAUUGAUAUAUCUUUCAUGAAUUAUAAUUUAUUGGUAUAUGGUUAUAUUGAAUGAUUUAUUUUUUUUGGAUUAGAAUUUAUGUUAAUAGAUUGAUUUUCUUUAUGAAUUAGAAUUUUU